UGGGGAAUAUUGCACAAUGGGGGAAACCCUGAUGCAGCGACGCCGCGUGAAUGAAGAAGGUAUUCGUAUCGUAAAGUUCUGUCCUAUGGGAAGAUAAUGACAGUACCAUAGAAGAAAGCUCCGGCUAAAUACGUGCCAGCAGCCGCGGUAAUACGUAUGGAGCGAGCGUUGUCCGGAAUUAUUGGGCGUAAAGGGUACGCAGGCGGUUUAAUAAGUCGAAUGUUAAAGAUCGGGGCUCAACCCCGUAAAGCAUUGGAAACUGAUAAACUUGAGUAGUGGAGAGGAAAGUGGAAUUCCUAGUGUAGUGGUGAAAUACGUAGAUAUUAGGAGGAGUACCAGUAGCGAAGGCGACUUUCUGGACACAAACUGACGCUGAGGUACGAAAGCGUGGGGAGCAAACAGG
rnacentral:rRNA from 1 species